rnacentral:rRNA from 1 species
CCUACGGGUGACAGCAGUGGGGAAUAUUGCACAAUGGGGGAAACCCUGAUGCAGCGACGCCGCGUGAGUGAAGAAGUAUCUCUGUACGUAAAGCUCUAUCAGCAGGAAAGAAAAUGACGGUACCUGACUAAGAAGCCCCGGCUAACUACGUGCCAGCAGCCGCGGUAAUACGUAGGGGGCAAGCGUUAUCCGGAUUUACUGGGUGUAAAGGGAGCGUAGAGGGUGCUGCAAGUGCGGGGUGAAAGCCCGUGGCUUAACCAUGGUACUGCUCUUGAAACUGUAGAGCUUGAGUGCGGGAGGGGCAGGCGGAAUUCCUAGUGUAGCGGUGAAAUGCGUAGAUAUUAGGAGGAACACCGACGGCGAAGGCGGCCUGCUAGACCGUAACUGACGUUGAGGCUCGAAAGCGUGGGGAGCAAACAGGAUUAGAUACCCCUGUAGUC